rnacentral:rRNA from 1 species
GAUGAACGCUGGCGGCGUGCCUAAUACAUGCAAGUAGAACGCUGAAGGAGGAGCUUGCUCUUCUGGAUGAGUUGCGAACGGGUGAGUAACGCGUAGGUAACCUGCCUGGUAGCGGGGGAUAACUAUUGGAAACGAUAGCUAAUACCGCAUGACAACAGUUAUUGCAUGAUAACUGUUUAAAAGGGGCAACUGCUCCACUACCAGAUGGACCUGCGUUGUAUUAGCUAGUUGGUGAGGUAACGGCUCACCAAGGCGACGAUACAUAGCCGACCUGAGAGGGUGGUCGGCCAAACUGGGACUGGGACACGGCCCAGAAUCCUACGGGAGGCAGCAGUAGGGAAUGUUCGGCAAUGGACGGAAGUCUGACCGGGCAACGCCGGGUGAGUGAAGAAGGCUUUCGGAUCGUAAAGCUCUGUUGUAAGAGAAGAACGAGUGUGAGAGUGGAAAGUUCACACUGUGACGGUAUCUUACCAGAAAGGGACGGCUAACUACGUG